rnacentral:misc_RNA from 1 species
UUAAGUUCAGCGGGUAUCCCUACCUGAUCCGAGGUCAACCGGUAAAAAAAUAAUAGUUCGACCAGCGCCGGCCGGGCCACAUUGAGCGGAGAGAGUUCCCAUACGCUCGGGCACCGGAUCGGGUGCCGCCACUGCCUUUCGGGCCUGUUUUUGUUUUAGAAAAACAAAGUCCAACACACAAGCCGUGCUUGAAGGUUGUA